AUGCUGCAGACUAAGAGAGCUGCCGAUGAUGAUCUCACAGAAAGCUCGAAAAAGAAUGGAAGAGUCUAUACUGGUGGAGGAGAGACACUUGAUGUGUUGAUUUCAGGGGAUUUGCAUCCAGAUGUCAAUUCGGAAGAGCCGAUUGACAGCUUUAGUGACUCUGGCCAAAGUGUUUGGAGUGAGCUCAGUAAAGAAGCCACUUCAAAAAUUUCUAGAAAUGUUGUCUCCCUCGCUUUGUCUGAUGGACAUACGGUGUUGUUUGCAUGCUCAGGCAUAGCCUUGCGAAGCGGGCGGUAUGUGACAAGCUUUCUGACUUCAGCAAGUUUGGUUAGAGCUUUCAAUGAUAAUAACAGAGAAGGCCAUGAUACCUUGAAUAUCGAAGUGCGUCGCAACGGUGAGGUUGCCAAAGGGAUCUUGAAAAGCUAUGAUUCGGAUCAGGGGAUUGUUGUUGUCCAAGUACUGUUUGUCACUCUUGGUGUUCAUCCAGUGGAUCUCAGUCCUCAGGUGGAAUUUCUUCCCUGUAGGAAGGUAGUAGCUGUCACACGUGCCGAUUCUGGCACAUUAAUGGUCGCAAGUGGGAUACUUGCUGUUGAGUCAAGCGGAUCUGAAGAUGGCAAACAGCUUAUGUUCUCCACUUGUAAAAUCUCUGAGGCUUGGGAAGGUGGGUCGCUUUUUGACUAUGAUGGGAACUUUGUUGGCUUGAACCUUUCUUUGGUUGGGGAAAGAAUUUAUUUCAUGCCAAGGAGUAUAAUUAUCGAACGUUUGGAGGAACUUCUGCCAAAAAAGGAAGCUAAGACGUUCAGGAAUGUAGAAAUACAGAGAGAGGUACAGCCCUGGCCCUAUUGCACCUAUCCAAGCGACAGAUCUGGGGAUCUAGACUCCUUGGGUUAUCCAAAGCCAUCAUCGACUGUUGUCAGUGAGGGCUUGGUUUUGGUUAAUACCUUCGAAGAGACUUUUGGUGAAGUAUAUGAUUCUGGUAAAGGUGUAAUGGGUUCUCAUAGUUUACCUCGACGAGUUGUCUCACUUGCUUCAUUCAGCGGAGAAAGGAGGUUUUUCGUGUGCACAGGCUUAUUUAUUGACUGGAACGGAUGCACCCCCAUUCUGACUUCAGCGAGUUUGGUUAGGGAUCCUAAAGAUGAAAACAAGAUUGCUGAAAAGUUGAAGAUUGAAGUUUUGCUUCCAAACAAAGAGCGCAAAGAAGGGAAAUUGCAACAUUAUAAUUUAUACUAUAAUGUUGCUCUCAUCGUUGUCGAGGAUUACCGUUGUCUUCGUCCAGCUAGAAUUCAUGAAGAUUGGUGGAAUCCUUUUACUCUGGAAGAUCCCAAUGUAGUAGCUGUGGGGCGCUGCUUCAAAUCUGGCAGGUUAAUGGCUACACAUGGAAGACGAACUGGCUGGUCAGGCAUGCUUGAUUACAGAGAUCUUAGGUACUCCAGUUGUAAGAUUACUAAGGCUGGGAUUGGUGGUCCUCUGCUUGACUUUAAUGGGAGAUUUAUUGGCAUGAACUUCUAUGAUAAGAAAAUAGGAACCCCAUUCAUAUUUAGGGACUGUAUUAUUCGAGUGCUGGCAAAUUUUGUGGAAAAAAGGACUUUUGAUGAAGUUGGCAGUGAUGGACCAAUCAGGUGGCCUGUGCCCAUACCGUGCUGGCGCCAUCCGGACGAUGAGCUCAAAGAUUCGCUCCCACCUGGCCAUGGGGAAAAAUCUGGGACGUUCGGAUUCUCAUAUGUGGAUGGAGUUAGAGUCGAUAACCAUUAG
rnacentral:rRNA from 1 species